UGGAGCAUGUGGUUAAUUCGAAGCAACGCGAAGAACCUUACCAGGUCUUGACAUCCCCUGACAACCCGAGAGAUCGGGCGUUCCCCUUCGGGGGACAGGGUGACAGGUGGUGCAUGGUUGUCGUCAGCUCGUGUCGUGAGAUGUUGGGUUAAGUCCCGCAACGAGCGCAACCCUCGACCUUAGUUGCCAACAUUCAGUUGGGCACUCUAAGGUGACUGCCGGCUAAAAGUCGGAGGAAGGUGGGGAUGACGUCAAAUCAUCAUGCCCCUUAUGACCUGGGCUACACACGUGCUACAAUGGGCGGUACAAAGGGUCGCGAACCCGCGAGGGGGAGCCAAUCCCAAAAAGCCGCUCUCAGUUCGGAUUGCAGGCUGCAACUCGCCUGCAUGAAGCCGGAAUCGCUAGUAAUCGCGGAUCAGCAUGCCGCGGUGAAUACGUUCCCGGGCCUU
rnacentral:rRNA from 1 species